UUGUCGGAAGAAGACACGCCCAGAUCUUCGUGCGGAAGCAAAGGGGAGGAGGGAUCAGGGAAGACGGGCGGGCAGAGGCGGGCAAGCAGAAGGCGUCGCCAGCGGCGUGCGGGGGCAGCUGAGCUCCGCAGCAGCCCGCGACGCAAUCAUGUCGCGUGGCAGGCCGCGGGAGGCGGAUGGGGAGAUGUUCAAGGCCAGCGGUUUUUGGCUGCAGCUAGAGGCCUGACUGACAGGGGUGCAGUGCAGGAGCUUUGGAUGUUCGGAGGCUGCAACAGCUGGGACUGGGUCUGGGACUGGGAGGGAGAUAGAAUGCGAGAGCGAGCUGCAGGGAAGCUUGUGUCCGUUACCUUGGUGGGAUAG
rnacentral:misc_RNA from 1 species